rnacentral:rRNA from 1 species
UAGUCAUAUGCUUGUCUCAAAGAUUAAGCCAUGCAUGUCUAAGUAUAAGCAAUUUAUACAGUGAAACUGCGAAUGGCUCAUUAAAUCAGUUAUCGUUUAUUUGAUAGUACCUUACUACUUGGAUAACCGUGGUAAUUCUAGAGCUAAUACAUGCUUAAAAUCCCGACUGUUUGGAAGGGAUGUAUUUAUUAGAUAAAAAAUCAAUGUCUUCGGACUCUUUGAUGAUUCAUAAUAACUUUUCGAAUCGCAUGGCCUUGUGCUGGCGAUGGUUCAUUCAAAUUUCUGCCCUAUCAACUUUCGAUGGUAGGAUAGUGGCCUACCAUGGUUUCAACGGGUAACGGGGAAUAAGGGUUCGAUUCCGGAGAGGGAGCCUGAGAAACGGCUACCACAUCCAAGGAAGGCAGCAGGCGCGCAAAUUACCCAAUCCCGACACGGGGAGGUGGUGACAAUAAAUAACGAUACAGGGCCCUUUCGGGUCUUGUAAUUGGAAUGAGUACAAUGUAAAUACCUUAACGAGGAACAAUU